rnacentral:rRNA from 1 species
UUCGCAAUGCCCGAAAGGGUGACGAAGCGACGCCGCGUGUGGGAAGAAGGCCUUCGGGUUGUAAACCACUGUCGGGAGUUAGGAAAUGUAAGGGUGUUAAUAGUAUCCUUACUUGACUAAGGCUCCGGAGGAAGCCACGGCUAACUCUGUGCCAGCAGCCGCGGUAAUACAGAGGCGGCAAGCGUUGUUCGGAAUUAUUGGGCGUAAAGAGCACGUAGGCGGCCCUGUAAGUCAGUUGUGAAAGCCUUCUGCUUAACGGAAGAACAGCAGCUGAUACUGCAAGGCUAGAGUGCGGAAGGGGAGAGUGGAACUUCUGGUGGAGCGGUGAAAUGCGUAGAUAUCAGAAGGAACACCGGCGGCGAAGGCGACUCUCUGGUCCGUAACUGACGCUGAGUGUGCGAAAGCUAGGGGAGCAAACGGGAUUAGAUACCCCGGUAGUCCUAGCCGUAAACGAUGGGCACUAAGUAGAG